UACGAAGGGGGGCUAGCGUUGCUCGGAAUCACUGGGCGUAAAGCGCACGUAGGCGGAUCGUUAAGUCAGGGGUGAAAUCCCGGAGCUCAACUCCGGAACUGCCUUUGAUACUGGCAAGCUAGAGUCCGGAAGAGGUGAGUGGAACUCCUAGUGUAGAGGUGGAAUUCGUAGAUAUUAGGAAGAACACCAGUGGCGAAGGCGGCUCACUGGUCCGGUACUGACGCUGAGGUGCGAAAGCGUGGGGGAGCAAACAGG
rnacentral:rRNA from 1 species